rnacentral:rRNA from 1 species
GAUGAACGCUGGCGGCGUGCCUAAUACAUGCAAGUCGAACGAACAGACGAGGAUCUUGCGCCUCUGACGUUAGCGGAAGACGUGUGAGUAACACGUGGAUCACCUACCUAUAAGUCUGAGAUAACUUCGAAACACCGGCGCUAAUACCAGAUAAUCUAUUGAAGCGCGUGGUUCAUUAGUGAGUGUCGGUGUUGCUGGCUCGUCUCGCGGCAUCCGCGCGGGUUUAGCUAGUUGGUACGGUAACAGCUUUCCAAGGCAAGGAUGCGUAGCCGACUGGCUAGGGUGAUAGGCGACACUGGAACUGAGACACGGACAAGACUCCUGAGGGAGGCAGCAGUAGGGAAUCGGACGCAGUGGGCGAAAGCAUGACGGAGCAACGCGGCGCGAGUGAUGAAGACCCCCGGUGCGUAAAACCCGGCUAUGAGGGAAGAACAAAUGUGUAAGUAACCGAGGACGUCGUGACGGUAACGAAUCAGAAAGCAACGGCUAACUACGUG